rnacentral:rRNA from 1 species
UACGUAGGGUGCGAGCGUUGUCCGGAUUUACUGGGCGUAAAGGGUGUGUAGGCGGUUGUUUUAAGUUUGGUGUGAAAUCUCCCGGCUCAACUGGGAGGGUGCGCCGAAUACUGAAUGACUUGGAGUGCGGGAGAGGAGAGUGGAAUUCCUGGUGUAGCGGUGAAAUGCGUAGAUAUCAGGAGGAACACCGGUGGUGUAGACGGCUUUCUGGACCGUAACUGACGCUCAGGCGCGAUAGCGUGGGGAUCAAACAGG